UACGUAGGGUGCGAGCGUUGUCCGGAUUUAUUGGGCGUAAAGGGCUCGUAGGCGGCUUGUCGCGUCGGGAGUGAAAACCAGGUGCUUAACACCUGGCUUGCUUUCGAUACGGGCAGACUAGAGGUAUUCAGGGGAGAACGGAAUUCCUGGUGUAGCGGUGAAAUGCGCAGAUAUCAGGAGGAACACCCGUGGCGAAGGCGGCUCUCUGGGACGGUACUGACGCUGAGACGCGAAAGCGUGGGGAGCGAACAGG
rnacentral:rRNA from 1 species